ACGUCACUGCUCCAUUAUGGCAUUGUGAUGUACGCCUCCGGCGAAAUUUUAAAUUGCACUCGCCGCCUGCUCCGUGUGACAAUAAGAAUCCUUUAAUCUCGCAAGUUUGGAAAUAAUAUUACGAUGGUAUGGGGAACGGGCGUCCAACAUCCAGUGGUCCAUAAGGGUGUCGUAAAGCAGUGAGCGGCAGAAAGGAUGGCGGAGAGAGAGCACAGGGAAGCAGAGCAGGGCCGGUGGAAUCGGUGAAGUUGCGGCAAUCAAUACAAGUAAAUGGUUUUUGCACGCGUUCACGAUGACAACGGAGCAAGAGGACGGUAGCCAAGACAGUGGAGGAUGCAGCGGAAUUAUAUAACAUUCCAUGCGAAGUUUCUUCACCGUGGCUAUAAAUUUUCUCGCAGCCACGGACAA